rnacentral:rRNA from 1 species
UACGGGGGGUGCGAGCGUUGUCCGGAAUCACUGGGCGUAAAGGGCGCGUAGGUGGUUUGAUAAGGGUGUGGUGAAAGCCCGGGGCUCAACCCCGGGUCUGCCGUGCCGACUGUCAAACUCGAGGGCUGUAGAGGCAGACGGAAUUCCGGGUGUAGCGGUGGAAUGCGUAGAGAUCCGGAAGAACACCGGUGGCGAAGGCGGCCUGCUGGGCAGUGGCUGACGCUGAGGCGCGACAGCGUGGGGAGCAAACAGG